rnacentral:rRNA from 1 species
GGGUUGUGAGGUUAAGCGACUAAGCGUACACGGUGGAUGCCCUGGCAGUCAGAGGCGAUGAAGGACGUGCUAAUCUGCGAUAAGCGUCGGUGAGGUGAUAUGAACCGUUAUAACCGGCGAUUUCCGAAUGGGGAAACCCAGUGUGUUUCGACACACUAUCAUUAACUGAAUCCAUAGGUUAAUGAGGCGAACCGGGGGAACUGAAACAUCUAAGUACCCCGAGGAAAAGAAAUCAACCGAGAUUCCCCCAGUAGCGGCGAGCGAACGGGGAGGAGCCCAGAGCCUGAAUCAGUGUGUGUGUUAGUGGAAGCGUCUGGAAAGGCGCGCGAUACAGGGUGACAGCCCCGUACACAAAAAUGCACAUACUGUGAGCUCGAUGAGUAGGGCGGGACACGUGGUAUCCUGUCUGAAUAUGGGGGGACCAUCCUCCAAGGCUAAAUACUCCUGACUGACCGAUAGUGAACCAGUACCGUGAGGGAAAGGCGAAAAGAACCCCGGCGAGGGGAGUGAAAAAGAACCUGAAACCGUGUACGUACAAGCAGUGGGAGCCUCUUAAUGGGGUGACUGCGUACCUUUUGUAUAAUGGGUCAGCGACUUAUAUUCUGUAGCAAGGUUAACCGAAUAGGGGAGCCGAAGGGAAACCGAGUCUUAACUGGGCGUUAAGUUGCAGGGUAUAGACCCGAAACCCGGUGAUCUAGCUAUGGGCAGGUUGAAGGUUGGGUAACACUAACUGGAGGACCGAACCGACUAAUGUUGAAAAAUUAGCGGAUGACUUGUGGCUGGGGGUGAAAGGCCAAUCAAACCGGGAGAUAGCUGGUUCUCCCCGAAAGCUAUUUAGGUAGCGCCUCGUGAAUUCAUCUCCGGGGGUAGAGCACUGUUUCGGCAAGGGGGUCAUCCCGACUUACCAACCCGAUGCAAACUGCGAAUACCGGAGAAUGUUAUCACGGGAGACACACGGCGGGUGCUAACGUCCGUCGUGAAGAGGGAAACAACCCAGACCGCCAGCUAAGGUCCCAAAGUCAUGGUUAAGUGGGAAACGAUGUGGGAAGGCCCAGACAGCCAGGAUGUUGGCUUAGAAGCAGCCAUCAUUUAAAGAAAGCGUAAUAGCUCACUGGUCGAGUCGGCCUGCGCGGAAGAUGUAACGGGGCUAAACCAUGCACCGAAGCUGCGGCAGCGACGCUUAUGCGUUGUUGGGUAGGGGAGCGUUCUGUAAGCCUGUGAAGGUGGCCUGUGAGGGUUGCUGGAGGUAUCAGAAGUGCGAAUGCUGACAUAAGUAACGAUAAAGCGGGUGAAAAGCCCGCUCGCCGGAAGACCAAGGGUUCCUGUCCAACGUUAAUCGGGGCAGGGUGAGUCGACCCCUAAGGCGAGGCCGAAAGGCGUAGUCGAUGGGAAACAGGUUAAUAUUCCUGUACUUGGUGUUACUGCGAAGGGGGGACGGAGAAGGCUAUGUUGGCCGGGCGACGGUUGUCCCGGUUUAAGCGUGUAGGCUGGUUUUCCAGGCAAAUCCGGAAAAUCAAGGCUGAGGCGUGAUGACGAGGCACUACGGUGCUGAAGCGACAAAUGCCCUGCUUCCAGGAAAAGCCUCUAAGCAUCAGGUAACAUUAAAUCGUACCCCAAACCGACACAGGUGGUCAGGUAGAGAAUACCAAGGCGCUUGAGAGAACUCGGGUGAAGGAACUAGGCAAAAUGGUGCCGUAACUUCGGGAGAAGGCACGCUGAUAUGUAGGUGAAGCGACUUGCUCGUGGAGCUGAAAUCAGUCGAAGAUACCAGCUGGCUGCAACUGUUUAUUAAAAACACAGCACUGUGCAAACACGAAAGUGGACGUAUACGGUGUGACGCCUGCCCGGUGCCGGAAGGUUAAUUGAUGGGGUUAGCGGUAACGCGAAGCUCUUGAUCGAAGCCCCGGUAAACGGCGGCCGUAACUAUAACGGUCCUAAGGUAGCGAAAUUCCUUGUCGGGUAAGUUCCGACCUGCACGAAUGGCGUAAUGAUGGCCAGGCUGUCUCCACCCGAGACUCAGUGAAAUUGAACUCGCUGUGAAGAUGCAGUGUACCCGCGGCAAGACGGAAAGACCCCGUGAACCUUUACUAUAGCUUGACACUGAACAUUGAGCCUUGAUGUGUAGGAUAGGUGGGAGGCUUUGAAGUGUGGACGCCAGUCUGCAUGGAGCCGACCUUGAAAUACCACCCUUUAAUGUUUGAUGUUCUAACGUGGGCCCCUUACCGGGGUUGCGGACAGUGUCUGGUGGGUAGUUUGACUGGGGCGGUCUCCUCCUAAAGAGUAACGGAGGAGCACGAAGGUUGGCUAAUCCUGGUCGGACAUCAGGAGGUUAGUGCAAUGGCAUAAGCCAGCUUGACUGCGAGCGUGACGGCGCGAGCAGGUGCGAAAGCAGGUCAUAGUGAUCCGGUGGUUCUGAAUGGAAGGGCCAUCGCUCAACGGAUAAAAGGUACUCCGGGGAUAACAGGCUGAUACCGCCCAAGAGUUCAUAUCGACGGCGGUGUUUGGCACCUCGAUGUCGGCUCAUCACAUCCUGGGGCUGAAGUAGGUCCCAAGGGUAUGGCUGUUCGCCAUUUAAAGUGGUACGCGAGCUGGGUUUAGAACGUCGUGAGACAGUUCGGUCCCUAUCUGCCGUGGGCGCUGGAGAACUGAGGGGGGCUGCUCCUAGUACGAGAGGACCGGAGUGGACGCAUCACUGGUGUUCGGGUUGUCAUGCCAAUGGCACUGCCCGGUAGCUAAAUGCGGAAGAGAUAAGUGCUGAAAGCAUCUAAGCACGAAACUUGCCCCGAGAUGAGUUCUCCCUGACUCCUUGAGAGUCCUGAAGGAACGUUGAAGACGACGACGUUGAUAGGCCGGGUGUGUAAGCGCAGCGAUGCGUUGAGCUAACCGGUACUAAUGAACCGUGAGGCUUAACCUUACAACGCCGAAG